rnacentral:rRNA from 1 species
CUUGGUCAUUUAGAGGAAGUAAAAGUCGUAACAAGGUUUCCGUAGGUGAACCUGCGGAAGGAUCAUUAUUGAAAUAAACCUGAUGAGUUGCUGCUGGUUCUCUAGGGAGCAUGUGCACACUUGUCAUCUUUAUAUCUCCACCUGUGCACCUUUUGUAGACCUGRAUAUUGUUCCGAGUGCUUAGCACUCAGGUUUGGAGGAUUGACUUUUCUGUCUUUCCUUACAUUUCCAGGCCUAUGUUUCUUCAAAUACCCAAUGUAUGUCAUAGAAUGUAAUAAAAUGGGCCUUUGUGCCUAUAAAUCUUAUACAACUUUCAGCAACGGAUCUCUUGGCUCUCGCAUCGAUGAAGAACGCAGCGAAAUGCGAUAAGUAAUGUGAAUUGCAGAAUUCAGUGAAUCAUCGAAUCUUUGAACGCACCUUGCGCUCCUUGGUAUUCCGAGGAGCAUGCCUGUUUGAGUGUCAUUAAUAUAUCAACCUCUUCAACUUGCUUGUUGAGUGUUUGGAUGGUGGGGGUCAUUUUUGGUGGUCUCUUUUCUGAGAUCAGCUCCCCUGAAAUGCAUUAGCGGAACAAUUUGUGGACCGUUCAUUGGUGUGAUAAAUAUCUACGCUAUUGACGUUAAGCAGUUCAGCUUCUAACAGUCCAUUGACUUGGACAAAUAUCAUUAAUGUGACCUCAAAUCAGGUAGGACUACCCGCUGAACUUAAGCAUAUCAAUAAGCGGAGGA